AUUAAAAAAUUAUAAUAUAGGACAAAACACACAUCACAAAAAAGAGACAACACUACAUAAAUAGUGACCUAAGAUAACAGCAUGGCAGCAACACAUGACAACAUAGCAUGGUAGCAAUGCAUAACAAUGCAUGGCAGUAGCACAACAUGGUAGCAGCACAGAACAUUAUUGAGCAAAAUCAUACUACCCAAUCAUAGUUUCUAUUAGCUCUUAGGACAUAGUUUACAGGUUUGUGUAAAUUGAUUCAUAUUGUAAACUGAUUUAUAUUGAAGCUAUAUGUAUUCAAGCAUAAUUGCAUGUCUCAGAUCCCACUAUCCCUGGGAACUAAGCUCCAUUUCGACCCACACUCACCAGUGAUAAUCAAGCCAAUCAAAUCAACUCCUAGAGUAGCCACCAGUAUCUACCUGCAGCCUUUACAACCACAGAAUGGUGUAACUCAGGGGUAUCAAACUCCAUGGAGGUCCAAGUACAAGGGAGGAGUGAAAACCCGCAGACACUUGGCCCUACGUGGAAUGAACUUGACACGUGGUGUAAAUGUAUAGCUCUUUGGCAGCUGGUUGUAUUGAAUGCCAUGUUGCUGUUUGACCCCUGCCCUGGUGUCCUCCUAGCCUGCGGCAGAGUGAGGUGGAGAUUCAGACUGCCUUCCUGGGUUGGCUGCACACCCAGAGCCACGAACCACUAGCCUGUCUGACGGGCCGCUCCAACACAAUCCUCCUACAGUACCUGCAAUUUAAGGUACACAUAAUGUGUGUCCCAAAUGGCACGUUGUUCCCUUUAUUGUCCUAUAGGGUCUGUUCAAAAGUAGUGCACUAUAAAGAGAAUAGAGUGACAUUUGGGACACACACAUGAAGUCACUCUGUGACGGUUGGCAGCAGGACAUUCAAUCUCACCUAAAGAGUAUGGAGUGCAGUGUAAAUGUAAUACAGUCUUUGUAAUACAGUCAUGAUAUUCUCCCUUCAGGGAAGGUGGAGUUUGCUCUGACUGUGUUGAAGUCAGAACCUGAGCCAGAGAGUGAAGAGCCUGAUCAGUUGUUUCUAUUAGCUCUUAGUGAUACAGACAUACAGGUACUAGUGACAAGCUUUGCUAUCUCAUCAGACUUAAUAUAUUCAAAUCAACACAUUAAAUGUUGAUAACUGUGUGAGGCAAAUGUUAUGUUUGUGUGUCAAAUCAAUGAUACUUUUCAAAUAACCAAUUAGAUGGGUUCAUGCAGGUGACUGACUGAUCGUGUAUGGAGGAAUCCUCACUAUUACUGAUAAGCAACUUGGCAGUAUGCCCAGAAUGUUGCUAUGGGAACAACCAAGGUAUGUCAGUUUCAAGGUCUCAACUUGGAGAGAGAAGGCCUUGUGAGGUAUUGGUCAGUCACAUGUGCGAGCCACCGGUAAUGAUGAAUUAAUUAUGCUAAAUCAUGCAAAUAUAACUUCUCUGUAUAGCCGUAUAUAAGACAACUGCUGGGACUGCCCCAGCGGAGCUUCUGAUGUAACCUCUCCAGCUUGCUGAUAAUAAAGUUUGUGAUUCAUUUAAGUUUGA